rnacentral:ncRNA from 2 species
AAUAGACGCUGGGGGUGUCCUGCGCGGCCAGGACUGAGAGUUCCGAGAGAGCGGAACAACCCCUUGCACCUGAUCCGGGUCAUGCCGGCGUAGGGAAGCGGUCGACAGCAGUG